GUCCUACGGGACGCAGCAGUGCGGCCUCUUGGUCACUGGGCUUCCGCCUGAACCAGCCAAGUCGCGUGAGGGAAGACUGCCCUAUGGGUUGUAAACCUCUUUUGUCAGGGAGCAACGCCGGCUACGUGUAGCCGGACUGAGAGAACCUGAAGAAAAAGCAUCGGCUAACUCCGUGCCAGCAGCCGCGGAAAUACGGAGGAUGCGAGCGUUAUCCGGAUUUAUUGGGUUUAAAGGGGGCGUAGGCG
rnacentral:rRNA from 1 species